CCUACGGGUGGCAGCAGUGGGGAAUAUUGCGCAAUGGGCGAAAGCCUGACGCAGCGACGCCGCGUGAGGGAUGACGGUCUUCGGAUCGUUAACCUCUGUCAGCAGGGAAGAACGGUCACUGUGCUAAUCAGCAGUGAAUUGACGGUACCUGCAAAGGAAGCACCGGCUAACUCCGUGCCAGCAGCCGCGGUAAUACGGAGGGUGCGAGCGUUAAUCGGAAUUACUGGGCGUAAAGCGCUCGUAGGCGGUAUGUCAAGUCAAGGGUGAAAUCCCCGCGCUCAACGUGGGAACUGCCUUUGAAACUGGCAAACUGGAGUGUGUGAGAGGAUAGUGGAAUUCCAGGUGUAGGAGUGAAAUCCGUAGAUAUCUGGAGGAACAUCAGUGGCGAAGGCGACUAUCUGGCACAUAACUGACGCUGAGGAGCGAAAGCGUGGGUAGCAAACAGGAUUAGAUACCCGAGUAGUC
rnacentral:rRNA from 1 species